CCUUAUUCUGAAAAGUUGCGAGCGGAAGUCCAGUGUUCCGCGCGGUGUCCAGCAUCGGUGCGGCGAGGAGCGCGGCCGAGCGUCGCGGGCAGCAGAAAGCCAACGCGGUUUCACGUUAUCAUGGCUCAGUCGAAACCCCGGAGACGCGUCCCCUCUCUCAUCUGAAGCGCAGCGUCAGUGGUCCAGAGUCUCCAGGCGUAAUUUCAGGGGGAGUGAGCGGGACUCGCCGCCUCCCGAGCAGUUCGUUGUCGACUGCCUGGCAUUUAUUUGGGAUUAAAAUGGUCAUCAGGGUUUACAUCGCCUCCUCAACCGGCUCUGUCGCGGUAAAAAAGCAUCAGCAGGCUGUAGUGGGUUUCCUGGAGGCCAAUCGAAUCAGCUUCCAGGAAGUAGACAUCACCAUGCUGGAGGAGCAGAGGCUCUGGAUGUACCGCAACAUACCCCGGGAGAGGCAGCCAGAGAAAGGCAACCCGCUGCCUCCACAGAUCUUCAAUGAGGAUCGCUACUGUGGGGACUAUGAAGACUUCUUCCAGUCAAAGGAGAACAACACUGUGUUUGCAUUCCUUGGGCUCAGUUCACAGCCAUCAGUGAAAAUGUGUGAAAAUACUGUAUGUACACAGAAAUAAACUGUUGUCUCUGUGUUGUAAAUCAUGCAGCUGCCCAACUUCCUCAAAAACUAAACACUGCACCAUGUCUCCGCGGUGCUAGCAUUCGGAAUCAUAGAUCAAACUGCUGGUGUGCGACGUCUGAGGAACCUUAGAAUAUGAGGACACAAACUGCAUCACUUCCUGAGUUGCAUCAUAUCCUUCACCCAUGAUCCCCGUGCUACGAAGCCAGCAUUUUGCCAAACCUCAGCCCACAUGGAUUUCCUCCUGUAUGACCUCUUCCGACUUUAAAAACUGUUUAAGCAACAUUCCACCGUUACUCAAGUCUCCAAGAAGUGUCUGACCCUCAAGAGGCCUCUGAAACCCCAAUCACAGAAAAAGUGGAUUAACUUUAUGAUGGAUGUAUUUGUGUUUCCUUUUCAUAUUAACACACGGUGACAGCAAACACUGUUUUGAAAAUGCAUAAGCAUAAACUGUGUGCAAACUAGAAAACGACGUAGCAGAAUUUUGCAUCAAUAGACCAGUUGCUGUAGGUCAGUCUACGAUGUGGUGGACGAGGACGAAAUGAUCAGGUGCGGCGGUGCAGCACAAGCCACCUGAAUACACACCUGUAUCGUGUGUGUGCAUGCCUUAGUGUGUGUGUGUGUGUAUCUGUCUCAAUCAGCAGCUGUUAAUGAAGGCUGUGCUGUGAGAGGGGGAGCUGAGAGGCAGCACUUGAUGCAACUUGAAACAACCGGAGGCCUAGCCAUUAUGUCUGGAUGGAUGUGUGUGCGUGCCUGCUCGUGUGCACACAGGUUUGUGUUUACAUGUGUGGGAGUAGAGAUGCUUUCCCCUGAGUUGACAGUGACGCUGCAGUUUAACACAAAGCAGAUGAGACCAAAUGCUGAGAAUCUUAAAACAUAUUUGUAAUUAUACAUAGUAUCAUAGCAAGCGUUCAUGUUUAGGUUGUAGUGGCUCUUAUCAAAUAAAACAUACAUUGAUUAAUGCACAGGGUUGGGAUCAAUAUUUAUGUUUUGCCUGUUGUCUGCAAAUCCGGUAAAACGACCAAAACCAACAAUGUGUUAUAUCUCAAUAUGUUCUGACUUCUCUACCAUGUCUGUGGCACUCGGUCCCAAGCCCAUUCCCUCAAGCUGAAGACUUAAAUCUUUAAAAACAGAUUUCAAACAUAGAGUUUCAUUCAUUGUUGUUGUUUUUUGUUUUUGUUUUAAAGGCUUAGUCAUUUCCUAAAAAAAAACUGGGCAUUGUAGUUUUAAGCCAACGUUACACAAGCAAGAGUAAAUAGCACAUUUGUAAGGAUUAUUUUAAGCCGCGGAUAAAUACACAUUUGGUGCUCUAGUACUGCAUAUUUACAGCAACAGAAUGGUGUAUGUAGGAUCGACUCAAAAUAAGCUACGGUGCCCAGGUUUAUUUAUAAUGAAGGAACAUGUUGCCCAGUAUGGCUCACUGAUGAGUUUUUAAUGGCUUUCAGACAACAAUGGAGCUCUAUGGCACGGAGGAAUAACAUUAUCAGGCCUUGGCAACUCGGACAGUACUGGUUUGGUCUUUUUGUGGGAUUUGUUGACAAUGUGAAAAUAUAGAUUAUGACCAGCUUUAUCCUCUAAUCAAGACAGCUCUAGACUAAGCAUGGUUACAAUCAUGUAGACUACAGGAAUACACUUUACAGAUCACUCCAAGUCUUAUGUGACAGAGGAUCCAAGAGAUAUGGAACAAAUAAUUUAUUGCUUUGAGAUAAUUGAGUGGCAAAGCUCCAAACCUCAGAUUUCCGUGUUGUGCCUCCACUUCUCUCUCUAUAUUUCCAAACGUCUGAGCAAACAGUUGCGUAAAUGUGAGCAAACUGCCCUGUGUGUGUUUUAUGCAUAAUGAAAAUAACAAGUGAUUGACACAUGGUGCCCAACUCCUACUCCUGUCCUCAAAUCUGUAUUCUGUGUCUCUCCUAAACACUGACACUAAGCAUUAUCUCUUAAUGUCUCUUUCCUAUUAAAUCAUCACGGUUGGGUGGUUAACUGAUUCCUUUAUAUUUACGCUUGAAGGGCACACAAACAGAUGCACCCUCACUAGCCAUUUUUCCUGAAUGUUGUGCCAUCUGUUGAAAGGAUAUGUAAUUUUUACUUAUUUUAAAUCAAACAGGAUAUCACAUUAUCACCACUGACACUGACAUUCCUCUUUUGCUGACUUGUAUCAUUUAUUGUCAAAUCAUGUAAUGACUUUCUUGUGAGCUCUGUGAAUGGACACUAACAAGUCUGUUGGACCACAAACUGACUAAAUGUACUCCAUGUUACACCUCGCUGUCUGUGACUUUGUUGUGGUAAAUUGUGGCUUUUUUUUUCUAUUUGAAACGGGCUCAUGAGAAUUGUACUCAAUGACACAUGUCUGUAUGGGAGCAGAUUACAAUAUUUUAAGUUUAUUUGCGUCAGUAUUUUUCAUUUGCGUGUUAUUGUUCAAGUAAUACUCUUCCAAAAGAGGUACAUACUGUUAUUUCUUUGCAUAUUUGAGAUCAAUGAAUAUGAAAUGGAGAAUGGAGAAGAUGAAAAUGUAAAAGAAGACACCUUUUAUGAGAGGAUCAAUCUGGAGGGCCUCUCUAGUGGUGGUGGGAAAGUCACAUUGUUCUUUGCCAUGCAG